UACAGAGGCCCCAAGCGUUACUGAGAAUCACUGGGUUUAAAGGGUGCGUAGGUGGCGCGUUACGUCCGUUGUGAAAUCCCUGGGCUCAACCCAGGAAAUGCUUCGGAUACUGGCGUGCUUGAGGCUAGUAGGGGUCACUGGAACUGACGGUGGAGCGGUGAAAUGCGUAGAUAUCGUCAGGAACGCCAAUGGUGAAGACAGGUGACUGGGCUAGAUCUGACACUGAGGCACGAAAGCGCGGGGAGCGAACGGG
rnacentral:rRNA from 1 species